rnacentral:rRNA from 1 species
UACGUAGGGUGCGAGCGUUGUCCGGAAUUACUGGGCGUAAAGAGCUCGUAGGUGGUUUGUCGCGUUGUCCGUGAAAACUCACAACUCAAUUGUGGGCGUGCGGGCGAUACGGGCAGACUGGAGUACUGCAGGGGAGACUGGAAUUCCUGGUGUAGCGGUGGAAUGCGCAGAUAUCAGGAGGAACACCGGUGGCGAAGGCGGUUCUCUGGGCAUUACCUGACGCUGAGGCGCGAAAGCCAGGGGAGCGAACGGG